rnacentral:tRNA from 1 species
UCCCUGGUAGCUCAGUUGGUAAAGAAUCUGCCUGCAAUGCAGGAGACCCUGGUUUGAUUCCUGGGUCGGGAA